rnacentral:rRNA from 1 species
CCUACGGGCGGCAGCAGUGAGGAAUAUUGGUCAAUGGGCGAGAGCCUGAACCAGCCAAGUCGCGUGAGGGAGUACUGCCCUAUGGGUUGUAAACCUCUUUUGUCGGGGAGCAAAAGCCGGACGUGUCCGGCUGUGAGAGUACCCGAAGAAAAAGCAUCGGCUAACUCCGUGCCAGCAGCCGCGGUAAUACGGAGGAUGCGAGCGUUAUCCGGAUUUAUUGGGUUUAAGGGGUGCGCAGGCGGAUUUUUAAGUCAGCGGUAAAAUCGUGGGGCUCAACCCCAUCCAGCCGUUGAAACUGGGGAUCUAGAGUGUGCGAGAGGUAGGCGGAAUGCGUGGUGUAGCGGUGAAAUGCAUAGAGAUCACGCAGAACCCCGAUUGCGAAGGCAGCAUACCGGUGCACAACUGACGCUCAGGCACGAAAGCGUGGGUAUCGAACAGGAUUAGAUACCCGAGUAGUC